rnacentral:tRNA from 1 species
GGGGGAUUAGCUCAGUUGGUAGAGCAACACAUUUACACUGUGAAGGUCAUAGGUUCGAGUCCUAUAUCCCCCA